AUUCCUAUUUUCCCCUGCGGGCCGAUUUUUGAAAUGUAUAGACAAAGAGUACAUUAUGCAACGUUGACAGUUUUAACAAUAAAAACCCCCUUAUUCAAGUUCAUCUCUUUUCACAUUUUUUAUCAAAGAUCAGUCUUUUUCUCUUAUCUACUCGAACGCAUUACUUGUUAUUAGCUAUUAGUUGAUUAUCAGUAAUUGCUUUUUCGUUUCACCGAGCUCUGCUCCGUGGACGCUUUUUGAAUUCAUUGAACACUCUGGCCAGGAGCCUCGGCCUGGUUAGAUCUCCCUCUCUUUUCUGGACUCUGGACUUACGAUUUUUUGGAACAUGGAACCCCGGACAACUUUGCCCUCUCAAAUCCCCGAUCUGACGUCAUCGGAACCCGUCAAGUAUAGAGAAACUCGAAAUCCGUAUACCGCAGCUGGAAGAAAACCAACAAAAUGCCGCGAUACAGUAUCAGCGAGGACAACACGGCAAAGAUCACUCUGCUCCGUGGAUGCUUUUUGAAUUCAUUGAACACUCUGGCCAGGAGCCUCGGCCUGGUUAGAUCUCCCUCUCUUUUCUGGACUCUGGACUUACGAUUUUUUGGAACAUGGAACCCCGGACAACUUUGGUGACUUGUCAAAAGACUUUUCUUUCUCUUUCUGAAAUCUUUUUCAUUUUAGAUCAUUUAACAUUUUAAUUUCGAAAUUUGUUUCGUUUAAUAAAUUGUAAAACGCCAGUUUUCUUUGUCAUUAUUAACUUGAAACUAUCCCGAUCGUAAAAAGCAUGAUUGUUUAAAUAUUUUUCAGUUUUCUAAUUCUGCUCUGCUCUCCCACUGCAUUUCAGCAGGUAUAAUUGUCCAAAUACUUGGAUUUUCACUUUAAGGGUGAAUUUCAGAGUAUUUCGUCAAUUAUAUCUCACAACUGCUCCUCCAGUGAUAAUACUUGAUUCUAUGUAAGAGUAUAAGUCGUAAAGUUAUAAAAUUACGCCUUAUAUAGAAUCGGGUUUAUUUCUGAAGGAAGGAUGACCAUCCCAAUAAGCCUUCUGCUUUAUUUCUCCAUUGUAAGUGGUGGUCAUUACAAUAAGGAGCGAUCCAACUGGUUGAAAUGGGUGGUUCUUAUAGACUAAGGGGGUAAAUGAUGGACUACUUAUUGUAGGGUCUCUGACCUACCUCCUUUAUCCAUUGCAGCUACCCGUUUCCAUCAAUAGGAUCCCGGCAUAUCCCUUUUGUCUUCUUUGUCUAUAGCUUUGUCAAUCAAUUUCAACAAUCAGGCCGCUUGUCCAUUCGCUGACACCGCGAAUUAUAAUUAUCGCAGGUAAUUAAAGGCUUGCCCGUGCGCACUCGACGUAGCGCCUUCAACACCGGGUAGAUACUUCAAACGCUACACCGUUACGCGGGUGUUCUGUUGUGCAAAUUGCCUAACUGCGCCUGCUGGAGUGUGCAUCGCACCGCACCGAGACAGGGUGAUCAAGCACAUUCAGCGCGCCUGAAUUAGAGAUUAAAUUUUCAUAUUUACGCGUCCGGUAUAGACUGGAUUGUGGUUAGACUCGACGAUUGACUGUUGAAGUAAGUACAGGGUGAAUUAAAAUAUCAUACUUGUUGGGCCGUAACGUCGAAUCGAUCUCUCUGAAGCGCGGACGUUAAAUACAUGAAAUCGUUGUACCACAGAAUGUCUACUAGAACGGGCUGGCCAAAAAGUUAGUACUUUCGCAGAACUUUUUAGUACAUUAUCAGAAGAUUUAGAACCU
rnacentral:lncRNA from 1 species